AAUGAACCGGCGAGUUACGAUUUGAUGCAAGGUUAAGCAGUAAAUGUGGAGCCGUAGCGAAAGCGAGUCUGAAUAGGGCGUUUAGUAUUUGGUCGUAGACCCGAAACCAGGUGAUCUACCCUUGGUCAGGUUGAAGUUCAGGUAACACUGAAUGGAGGACCGAACCGACUUACGUUGAAAAGUGAGCGGAUGAACUGAGGGUAGCGGAGAAAUUCCAAUCGAACCUGGAGAUAGCUGGUUCUCUCCGAAAUAGCUUUAGGGCUAGCCUCAAGUGAUGAUUAUUGGAGGUAGAGCACUGUUUGGACGAGGGGCCCCUCUCGGGUUACCGAAUUCAGACAAACUCCGAAUGCCAAUUAAUUUAACUUGGGAGUCAGAACAUGGGUGAUAAGGUCCAUGUUCGAAAGGGAAACAGCCCAGACCACCAGCUAAGGUCCCAAAAUAUAUGUUAAGUGGAAAAGGAUGUGGCGUUGCCCAGACAACUAGGAUGUUGGCUUAGAAGCAGCCAUCAUUUAAAGAGUGCGUAAUAGCUCACUAGUCGAGUGACACUGCGCCGAAAAUGUACCGGGGCUAAACAUAUUACCGAAGCUGUGGAUUGUCCUUUGGACAAUGGUAGGAGAGCGUUCUAAGGGCGUUGAAGCAUGAUCGUAAGGACAUGUGGAGCGCUUAGAAGUGAGAAUGCCGGUGUGAGUAGCGAAAGACGGGUGAGAAUCCCGUCCACCGAUUGACUAAGGUUUCCAGAGGAAGGCUCGUCCGCUCUGGGUUAGUCGGGUCCUAAGCUGAGGCCGACAGGCGUAGGCGAUGGAUAACAGGUUGAUAUUCCUGUACCACCUAUA
rnacentral:rRNA from 1 species